AUACAGAGGGUGCGAGCGUUAAUCGGAAUUACUGGGCGUAAAGCGCGCGUAGGCGGCUUAUUAAGUCAGAUGUGAAAUCCCCGGGCUCAACCUGGGAACUGCAUCUGAUACUGGUAAGCUAGAGUUUUGGAGAGGGAAGUAGAAUUUCAGGUGUAGCGGUGAAAUGCAUAGAGAUCUGAAGGAAUACCAGUGGCGAAGGCGACUUCCUGGCCAAAAACUGACGCUGAGGUGCGAAAGCGUGGGUAGCAAACGGGAGUAGAUACCCCAGUAGUCC
rnacentral:rRNA from 1 species